UUGAACGCUGGCGGCAGGCCUAACACAUGCCAGUCGAGCGGAUGAAGGGAGCUUGCUCCUGGAUUCAGCGGCGGACGGGUGAGUAAUGCCUAGGAAUCUGCCUGGUAGUGGGGGAUAACGUCCGGAAACGGGCGCUAAUACCGCAUACGUCCUGAGGGAGAAAGUGGGGGAUCUUCGGACCUCACGCUAUCAGAUGAGCCUAGGUCGGAUUAGCUAGUUGGUGGGGUAAAGGCCUACCAAGGCGACGAUCCGUAACUGGUCUGAGUGGAUGAUCAGUCACACUGGAACUGAGACACGGUCCAGACUCCUACGGGAGGCAGCAGUGGGGAAUAUUGGACAAUGGGCGAAAGCCUGAUCCAGCCAUGCCGCGUGUGUGAAGAAGGUCUUCGGAUUGUAAAGCACUUUAAGUUGGGAGGAAGGGCAGUAAGUUAAUACCUUGCUGUUUUGACGUUACCAACAGAAUAAGCACCGGCUAACUUCGUG
rnacentral:rRNA from 1 species